rnacentral:rRNA from 1 species
UACGGGGGGUGCGAGCGUUGUCCGGAAUCACUGGGCGUAAAGGGCGCGUAGGUGGUUUGAUAAGGGUGUGGUGAAAGUCCGGGGCUCAACCCCGGAUCUGCCGUGCCGACUGUCAAACUCGAGGACUGUAGAGGCAGACGGAAUUCCGGGUGUAGCGGUGGAAUGCGUAGAGAUCCGGAGGAAGACCGGUGGCGAAGGCGGUCUGCUGGACCCUUUCUGACGCUGAGGCUCGAAAGCCAGGGGAGCAAACGGG